rnacentral:tRNA from 1 species
AAGGCAUGACGUGGAGGGUGUCCUCGCUGUUGGUGCCGGCGAUCGACCCCAGGUUCCAGUUCCGCAUGGCUUC